rnacentral:rRNA from 1 species
CCUACGGGAGGCAGCAGUGAGGAAUAUUGGUCAAUGGGCUUACGCCUGAACCAGCCAAGUCGCGUGAGGGAAGACUGCCCUAUGGGUUGUAAACCUCUUUUGACAGGGAGCAACGCCGGCUACGUGUAGCCGGACUGAGAGUACCGGAUGUAAAAGCAUCGGCUAACUUCGUGACAGCAGCCGCGGUAAUACGGAGGAUGCGAGCGUUAGCCGGAUUUAUUGGGUUUAAAGGGUGCGUAGGCGGAAUGCCAAGUCAGCGGUAAAAUGGCGGGGCUCAACCUCGCUCCGCCGUUGAAACUGGCGUACUUGAGUGGGCGAGAGGUAUGCGGAAUGCGUGGUGUAGCGGUGAAAUGCAUAGAUAUAACGCAGAACACCGAUGGCGAAGGCAGCAUACCGGCGCCCAACUGACGCUGAGGCACGAAAGCGUGGGUAUCGAACAGGAUUAGAUACCCCAGUAGUC